UUUGUAUAAUGGGUCAGCGACUUAUAUUCAGUGGCAAGGUUAACCAUCUAGGGGAGCCGUAGGGAAACCGAGUCUUAACUGGGCGUUCAGUCUCUGGAUAUAGACCCGAAACCAGGUGAUCUAGCCAUGGGCAGGUUGAAGGUUGAGUAACAUCAACUGGAGGACCGAACCGACUAAUGUUGAAAAAUUAGCGGAUGACUUGUGGCUAGGGGUGAAAGGCCAAUCAAACCUGGAGAUAGCUGGUUCUCCCCGAAAGCUAUUUAGGUAGCGCCUCGGACGAAUACUACUGGGGGUAGAGCACUGUUAAGGCUAGGGGGUCAUCCCGACUUACCAACCCUUUGCAAACUCCGAAUACCAGUAAGUACUAUCCGGGAGACACACGGCGGGUGCUAACGUCCGUCGUGGAGAGGGAAACAACCCAGACCGCCAGCUAAGGUCCCAAAUUACUACUAAGUGGGAAACGAUGUGGGAAGGCUCAGACAGCCAGGAUGUUGGCUUAGAAGCAGCCAUCAUUUAAAGAAAGCGUAAUAGCUCACUGGUCGAGUCGGCCUGCGCGGAAGAUGUAACGGGGCUAAGUAGUAAACCGAAGCUGCGGCAAUAUACUUUUGUAUAUUGGGUAGGGGAGCGUUCUGUAAGCGGUUGAAGGUGUGUGGUAACGCAUGCUGGACGUAUCAGAAGUGCGAAUGCUGACAUGAGUAACGAUAAAGGGGGUGAAAAACCUCCUCGCCGGAAGACCAAGGGUUCCUGUCCAACGUUAAUCGGGGCAGGGUAAGUCGACCCCUAAGGCGAGGCCGAAAGGCGUAGUCGAUGGGAAACGGGUUAAUAUUCCCGUACUUCUUACAAUUGCGAUGGGGGGACGGAGAAGGCUAGGUGGGCCUGGCGACGGUUGUCCAGGUUCAAGUGCGUAGGCUUAAGAGUUAGGUAAAUCCGGCUCUUUUUAA
rnacentral:rRNA from 1 species